CAUCUGAGGGUCAAACAUUCUGUUCAUAAAGUGUUUAUUUGGGAAUGGAAAAUAUAAUUUCCUGGAGUUUAUUCUUUAUAGUUUGUUUUCAUGGAGUCUGGAGUGAGAUCAGACUGGACCAGUCUCCAUCUGAGGUGAAAAGACCUGGAGAGACAGUGAAGAUGUCUUGUAUCAUAUCUGGAUUUGACAUGACAAGCUACUAUAUUCACUGGAUACGACAGAGACCAGGACAAGCUCUGGAGUGGAUCGGGAGGAUGGAUACAGGAAAAAACUCUGCCAGCUAUGCCAGCGCCUUCCAGAAUCGUUUCCCGAUGACUGAAGAUGUGUCCAGCAGCACUCAGUACCUCCAGAUCAAGAGUCUGACAGCAGAAGAUUCUGCUGUUUAUUAUUGUGCUCGACAAACACAGUGAGUGAAGUCAGUGAAGCAGCUGCACAAAAACCUCCACAGAUGUCAGACAGCAGAGAGACAUCUGAGACAUCAUGGCUGAACUCAAUAAUACUGUAAAUUAUUUAUAAUAUUAUAAAUGCUGUGAAGCCUGUUAUGCUGAAAGUAACUAAUGAGAAACAAGUUUUAUCGUUGAACAAAUCUUAUUCAUUCAUGUGUCAGAUGUCUGGAUAUUUACUGUCACUGAAAUUCAGAUGGUUGUUGUGUGAUCACAGAUCUUUCCAGUCCAUUCAAUGCUAAUAUCCUCCACCUCUAGUUAUCUGACUAUAUUACAGUUUUUCUCAGUUGUUUUGGUACAUUUCUCGAAUCAUCCUCAACAUUUGCAAAACAGUAAGUGCAUUUCUCAAAACAAUUCGUACAAAUUGCAAAACGCCAUGGAUUACCUGCAAAAGCCAGUCUCUUGUUGAAAAUCCUUAGUUCAUCUCUCAAAAGUAAAUAUCUGUGUCAAUGAACACGUCA